GAUGAACGCUGGCGGCGUGCCUAAUACAUGCAAGUCGAGCGAACAGAUAAGGAGCUUGCUCCUUUGACGUUAGCGGCGGACGGGUGAGUAACACGUGGAUAACCUACCUAUAAGACUGGGAUAACUUCGGGAAACCGGAGCUAAUACCGGAUAACAUAUUGAACCGCAUGGUUCAAUAGUGAAAGGCGGCUUUGCUGUCACUUAUAGAUGGAUCCGCGCCGUAUUAGCUAGUUGGUAAGGUAACGGCUUACCAAGGCAACGAUACGUAGCCGACCUGAGAGGGGGAUCGGCCACACUGGAACUGAGACACGGUCCAGACUCCUACGGGAGGCAGCAGUAGGGAAUCUUCCGCAAUGGGCGAAAGCCUGACGGAGCAACGCCGCGUGAGUGAUGAAGGUCUUCGGAUCGUAAAACUCUGUUAUCAGGGAAGAACAAAUGUGUAAGUAACUGUGCACAUCUUGACGGUACCUGAUCAGAAAGCCACGGCUAACUACGU
rnacentral:rRNA from 1 species